AUGACGCUUGAGCAGGCAGGCCAUACACAUGCAAGUCGAACGGUAACAGGAAGCAGCUUGCUGCUUCGCUGACGAGUGGCGGACGGGUGAGUAAUGUCUGGGAAACUGCCUGAUGGAGUGGGGAUAACUACUGGAAACGGUGGCUAAUACCGCAUUAACGUCGCAAGAACCAAAGAAGGGGACCUUCGGCCUCUUGCCAUCAGAUGUGCCCAGAUGGGAUUAGCUUGUUGGUGAGGUAACGGGCUCACCAAGGCGACGAUCCCUAGCUGGUCUGAGAGGAUGACCAGCCACACUGGAACUGAGACACGGUCCAGACUCCUACGGGAGGCAGCAGUGGGGAAUAUUGCACAAUGGGCGCAAGCCUGAUGCAGCCAUGCCGCGUGUAUGAAGAAGGCCUUCGGGUUGUAAAGUACUUUCAGCGGGGAGGAAGGUGUUGUGGUUAAUAACCGCAGCAAUUGACGUUACCCGCAGAAGAAGCACCGGCUAACUCCGUGCCAGCAGCCGCGGUAAUACGGAGGGUGCAAGCGUUAAUCGGAAUUACUGGGCGUAAAGCGCACGCAGGCGGUCUGUCAAGUCGGAUGUGAAAUCCCCGGCUCACCUGGGACUGCAUCGAACUGCAGCUGAGUCUGUAGAGGGNAGAUCCAGUGUAGCGUGAAUCGUAAGAUCUGAGAAACGGUGCGAGGCGGCCCCUGACAAGACUGACGCUCAGGUGCGANGCUUGGGAACAACAGAUUGAUGUGGUGAAAAAAAANGGG
rnacentral:rRNA from 1 species